AAUAAACGCAGUUGUGGGUUUCAGUGUCCAACUUUAACCAUCCGUUUUAUUUGAAAUAAUUUUAUAAUUAGUAUUUCUAUUGUUAUUAGAUGAUAAAAAAUUAUGAAAAUAUUUAAAAAGUUAAGUCACGCAUAAAGUAUUAUGCGUGACUUAACUUUUCAAAUAUUUUCAUAAUUUUUUUAAAUAAGACAAAUGGUUAAACGUUGGGUACGAAAACUUAUAGUUGCACUUGUA
rfam:Oryza glumipatula chromosome 6, whole genome shotgun sequence.